AGCGCACUCUUCGGAGUGAGCGGCGGACGGGUUAGUAACGCGUGGGAAUAUACCCUUUUCUACGGAAUAGCCUCGGGAAACUGAGAGUAAUACCGUAUACGCCCUUCGGGGGAAAGAUUUAUCGGUGAAGGAUUAGCCCGCGUCUGAUUAGAUAGUUGGUGGGGUAAUGGCCUACCAAGUCUACGAUCAGUAGCUGGUUUGAGAGGAUGAUCAGCAACACUGGGACUGAGACACGGCCCAGACUCCUACGGGAGGCAGCAGUGGGGAAUCUUAGACAAUGGGCGCAAGCCUGAUCUAGCCAUGCCGCGUGAGUGACGAAGGCCUUAGGGUCGUAAAGCUCUUUCGCCAGAGAUGAUAAUGACAGUAUCUGGUAAAGAAACCCCGGCUAACUCCGUGCCAGCAGCCGCGGUAAUACGGAGGGGGUUAGCGUUGUUCGGAAUUACUGGGCGUAAAGCGUACGUAGGCGGAUUGGAAAGUAGGGGGUGAAAUCCCAGGGCUCAACCCUGGAACUGCCUCCUAAACUAUCAGUCUAGAGUUCGAGAGAGGUGAGUGGAAUUCCAAGUGUAGAGGUGAAAUUCGUAGAUAUUUGGAGGAACACCAGUGGCGAAGGCGGCUCACUGGCUCGAUACUGACGCUGAGGUACGAAAGUGUGGGGAGCAAACAGGAUUAGAUACCCUGGUAGUCCACACCGUAAACGAUGAAUGCCAGACGUCAGGGGGCUU
rnacentral:rRNA from 1 species